rnacentral:rRNA from 1 species
CACGUAGGGUGCGAGAGUUGUCCGGAAUUAUUGGGCGUAAAGAGCUCGUAGGCGGUGUGUCGCGUCGGCCGUGAAAACCUGCAGCUUAACUGUGGGCGUGCGGUCGAUACGGGCAUCACUGGAGUUCGGCAGGGGAGACUGGAAUUCCUGGUGUAGCGGUGAAAUGCGCAGAUAUCAGGAGGAACACCGGUGGCGAAGGCGGGUCUCUGGGCCGAUACUGACGCUGAGGAGCGAAAGCGUGGGGAGCAAACAGG